AGAAAAUGGAAACACAGAGGUUCGUCUUCCUCCCUCUCUCUCGCAUCGCUCCUCUCACUGGAGACAUUCAUCUCCCUCCACACUCGAAACAGAGACAAACUCAAAGAGAAAACCAAUACCCCUAACCUAAACUAAAAUGACCAACAUUCGUCUCAUCCUAUCAUCUCCUUCACAACGAAACCGAAACGCAACGACAACAACGACUAAGAAAAACGCUGAACCUUUCCUAGAGCAAAAUCAAAAGAUGCAAACAAAAGGUCACAUGUUAUGAGGAUGUCGAGAGAAAUGUGAUGAUUACCUCCUCAAACGAAGCUCGGCGCGGUUAUGAUAGUGGUGCGAAGAACUGGUGCGCUCUCUUCAGGGUUACAAAUUGGUGCCCUUGUGUUCAAAAGUAACUCUGCAAAGCACUUUGGAUGCUCAGAAAUUGCAUUGCCCUAUCCAUGUUAGAUUCAAGAAAAGUAAAAAAUGGUGAGCUUGGUUUGACUUGGGAUAAUGGAUAUUUUGAAGAGUGAUUGUUAAUGGUUUUAAUGCAUAGACUGGCUGCAGUAGGUGACAUGAUAAAUUGGAAUUAGGAGAUGAGGUUAUCAGAUCAAAAGUAAUCUGCUGA